rnacentral:rRNA from 1 species
AGUGAACGCUGGCGGUAGGCCUAACACAUGCAAGUCGAACGGCAGCACAGUAAGAGCUUGCCCUUACGGGUGGCGAGUGGCGGACGGGUGAGGAAUACACCGGAAUCUACUUUUUCGUGGGGGAUAACGUAGGGAAACUUACGCUAAUACCGCAUACGACCUACGGGUGAAAGCAGGGGAUCUUCGGACCUUGCGCGAUUGAAUGAGCCAAUGUCGGAUUAGCUAGUUGGCGGGGUAAAGGCCCACCAAGGCGACGAUCCGUAGCUGGUCUGAGAGGAUGAUCAGCCACACUGGAACUGAGACACGGUCCAGACUCCUACGGGAGGCAGCAGUGGGGAAUAUUGGACAAUGGGCGCAAGCCUGAUCCAGCCAUACCGCGUGGGUGAAGAAGGCCUUCGGGUUGUAAAGCCCUUUUGUUGGGAAAGAAAAGCAGCAGGUGAAUACCCCGCUGUUCUGACGUUACCAAAAGAAUAAGCACCGGCUAACUUCGUG